rnacentral:rRNA from 1 species
CUCUCUCUCUCUGGGAGUGUGUUGUGCACGCUUGUCUCAUCUUUAUUAUUUCUCCAACUGUGCACAUUUUGUAGAUCCUGGAAAGGCCUUUUUAUGAAUGUUCUCAUUCGAGUAGGGACUGCUGUCGCUUUUUCUUUGAAAGGCCGGCUUUGCCUUUUCGCCUCCAGGGUCUAUGUCACUUUCCACAACCUCUCAAACGAGUUUAGAAUGUCUUAUUAUGUGAAAUAUACAACUUUCAGCAACGGAUCUCUUGGCUCUCGCAUCGAUGAAGAACGCAGCGAAAUGCGAUAAGUAAUGUGAAUUGCAGAAUUCAGUGAAUCAUCGAAUCUUUGAACGCAUCUUGCGCUCCUUGGUAUUCCGAGGAGCAUGCCUGUUUGAGUGUCAUUUGACUUAUCAACCGCUUCAUGGUGAACAUGGACGUGGCUUUGGAUGUGGGGGUCUCUGCAGGCUUUUUUCUAAAAGGUCGGCUCCCCUGAAACGCAUUAGUGGCAUCUGAGCUGCUACUAUAGGUGUGAUAAAUUAUCUAUGCCUUUGGUAUGCUGCAUGAACGGAUUGCGCUGCUUACAACGAUGAAUUUGACAAACUUGACCUC